UACGUAGGGUCCGAGCGUUGUCCGGAAUUACUGGGCGUAAAGAGCUCGUAGGUGGUUUGUCGCGUUGUUCGUGAAAACUCACAGCUCAACUGUGGGCGUGCGGGCGAUACGGGCAGACUGGAGUACUGCAGGGGAGACUGGAAUUCCUGGUGUAGCGGUGAAAUGCGCAGAUAUCAGGAGGAACACCGGUGGCGAAGGCGGGUCUCUGGGCCGAAAUUGACGCUGAGGAGCGAAAGCGUGGGGAGCAAACAGG
rnacentral:rRNA from 1 species